rnacentral:rRNA from 1 species
UACAGACGGUCCAAACGUUAUUCGGAAUCACUGGGCUUAAAGAGUUCGUAGGCGGUUAGGAAAGUGGGGUGUGAAAGCCCUCGGCUUAACCGAGGAAUUGCGCUCCAAACUCCCUGACUUGAGGAGGCCAGAGGUAAGCGGAACUGAUGGUGGAGCGGUGAAAUGCGUUGAUAUCAUCAGGAACACCGGAGGCGAAGGCGGCUUACUGGGGCCUUUCUGACGCUGAGGAACGAAAGCUAGGGGAGCGAACGGG